CGUUUUGAUGCUGUUAUUAUGAGAAUCAAGGAGCCGAAAACGACAGCUUUGAUUUUUAUCUCAGGGAAGAUGGUUUGCACAGGAGCAAAGGACGAGGAACAGUCAAAAUCUGCUGCUAGGAAGUAUGCUCGAAUCGUUCAGAAGCUUGGAUUUCCAGCUAGAUUUAAGG